rnacentral:rRNA from 1 species
UACGUAGGGGGCAAGCGUUGUCCGGAAUCAUUGGGCGUAAAGAGCGUGUAGGCGGUCCGGUAAGUCCGCUGUGAAAGUCCAGGGCUCAACCCUGGGAUGCCGGUCGAUACUGCCGGACUAGAGUUCGGAAGAGGCGAGUGGAAUUCCCGGUGUAGCGGUGAAAUGCGCAGAUAUCGGGAGGAACACCUAUGGCGAAGGCAGCUCGCUGGGACGUUACUGACGCUGAGACGCGAAAGCGUGGGGAGCAAACAGG